GACGAACGCUGGCGGCGUGCUUAACACAUGCAAGUCGAACGAAGUGGCGAACGGGUGAGCAAUACGUGGGUAACCUGCCCUCCUUUUUGGGAUAAGCCGUGGAAACGGGGUCUAAUACCGAAUAUGGGGGCUGGGCUCGCGGCCUAUCAGUUUGUUGGAGGGGUAAUGGCCUACCAAGGCGGUGAAGGGUAGCCGGCCUGAGAGGGUGACCGGCCACAUUGGGACUGAGACACGGCCCAGACUCCUACGGGAGGCAGCAGUGGGGAAUCUUCCGCAAUGGACGAAAGUCUGACGGAGCAACGCCGCGUGAGUGAUGACGGCCUUCGGGUUGUAAAGCUCUGUUAAUCGGGACGCGGUACCGGAAUAGAAAGCCACGGCUAACUACGUGCCAGCAGCCGCGGUAAUUC
rnacentral:rRNA from 1 species